GAGUCACUAAAUAUAUGUAAAAAAUCUAAAAAAUGCAUGAUUUUUUCAUUCUAAUUACUUCACGCAUCCCAUAUCAUGAUUAAUAAUGUGGAUUUUCAUUUUGAAAGGUCCACCAUUGAUUUUCAUUGGAAAGUAUUUAGGGCCAAAUGGACUACAAUUUAUUUUAUCUAACUUUCUCUAAAUAUAUCCGCAUUUGUAGACUUAAUUACUAAAAUGGUCCCUAAGGUCUGGAGGUAAAAUUAUUUUAGUCCCCAAC
rnacentral:lncRNA from 1 species